rnacentral:rRNA from 1 species
GAUGAACGCUGGCGGCGUGCUUAACACAUGCAAGUCGAACGAAGCGCUUUGGACUGAUUCUUCGGAUGAAAUCCUUAGUGACUGAGUGGCGGACGGGUGAGUAACGCGUGGGUAACCUGCCUCAUACAGGGGGAUAACAGUUAGAAAUGGCUGCUAAUACCGCAUAAGCGCACGGUACCGCAUGGUACAGUGUGAAAAACUCCGGUGGUAUGAGAUGGACCCGCGUUGGAUUAGCUAGUUGGCAGGGUAACGGCCUACCAAGGCGACGAUCCAUAGCCGGCCUGAGAGGGUGGACGGCCACAUUGGGACUGAGACACGGCCCAGACUCCUACGGGAGGCAGCAGUGGGGAAUAUUGCACGAUGGGGGAAACCCUGAUGCAGCGACGCCGCGUGAGCGAAGAAGUAUUUCGGUAUGUAAAGCUCUAUCAGCAGGGAAGAAAAUGACGGUACCUGACUAAGAAGCCCCGGCUAACUACGUGCCAGCAGCCGCGGUAAUACGUAAGGGGCAAGCGUUAUCCGGAUUUACUGGGUGUAAAGGGAGCGUAGACGGAAUGGCAAGUCUGAUGUGAAAGGCCGGGGCUCAACCCCGGGACUGCAUUGGAAACUGUCAAUCUAGAGUACCGGAGGGGUAAGUGGAAUUCCUAGUGUAGCGGUGAAAUGCGUAGAUAUUAGGAGGAACACCAGUGGCGAAGGCGGCUUACUGGACGGUAACUGACGUUGAGGCUCGAAAGCGUGGGGAGCAAACA